AGUAGCUUGCUACUUUGCCGGCGAGCGGCGGACGGGUGAGUAAUGUCUGGGAAACUGCCUGAUGGAGGGGGAUAACUACUGGAAACGGUAGCUAAUACCGCAUAACGUCGCAAGACCAAAGAGGGGGACCUUCGGGCCUCUUGCCAUCAGAUGUGCCCAGAUGGGAUUAGCUAGUAGGUGGGGUAACGGCUCACCUAGGCGACGAUCCCUAGCUGGUCUGAGAGGAUGACCAGCCCCACUGGAACUGAGACACGGGCCCACCUCCUACGGGAGGCAGCAGGGGGG
rnacentral:rRNA from 1 species